rnacentral:rRNA from 1 species
UGUAGGCUGCAACUCGCCUACAUGAAGUCGGAAUCGCUAGUAAUCGCGGAUCAGCAUGCCGCGGUGAAUACGUUCCCGGGCCUUGUACACACCGCCGUCACACCAUGAGAGUUUGUAACACCCAAAGCCGGUGGGGUAACCUUUUGGAGCCAGCCGUCUAAGGUGGGACAGAUGAUUGGGGUGAAGUCGUAACAAGGUAAC